rnacentral:rRNA from 1 species
GAGUUUGAUCCUGGCUCACAACGAACGCUGGCGGCGUGCCUAACACAUGCAAGUCGUGCGAGAAAGUCUCCUUCGGGAGGUGAGUAAAGCGGCGAACGGGUGAGUAACACGUGGGUAACCUGCCCUUGAGUUCGGGACAACCCGGGGAAACCCGGGCUAAUACCGAAUACGCCUCAUUCGUCCUCGGAUGGAUGAGAGAAAGAUGGCCUCUGCUUGCAUGCUAUCGCUCUUGGGUGAGCCCGCGGCCCAUUAGCUUGUUGGUGAGGUAAAAGCUCACCAAGGCGAUGAUGGGUAGCUGGUCUGAGAGGAUGAUCAGCCACACUGGGACUGAGACACGGCCCAGACUCCUACGGGAGGCAGCAGUGGGGAAUUUUGGGCAAUGGGCGCAAGCCUGACCCAGCAACGCCGCGUGCAGGAUGAAGGCCCUCGGGUCGUAUACUGCUGUCAGGAGGGAAGAAAGGCACCAGGGGUAAUAUUCCUGGUGAUUGACGGUAUCUCCAGAGGAAGCGCCGGCCUAACUCCCGUUGCCAGCCAGCC